rnacentral:rRNA from 1 species
ACGGAGGGUGCAAGCGUUAAUCGGAAUCACUGGGCGUAAAGCGCACGUAGGCGGUUUUGCAAGUCAGACGUGAAAUCCCUUGGCUCAACCGAGGAAUUGCGUUUGAAACUGCAGGACUGGAGUACUGGAGAGGGUGGCGGAAUUCCCGGUGUAGGAGCGAAAUCCGUAGAUCUCGGGAGGAAGACCAGUGGCGAAGGGGGCCACCUGGACAGAUACUGACACUGAGGUGCGAAAGUGUGGUGAGCAAAAAG